rnacentral:piRNA from 1 species
UGGAUGUAUGUUUGUCCAGUGUGGGUGUAA